rnacentral:rRNA from 1 species
UGGGGAAUAUUGGACAAUGGGCGCAAGCCUGAUCCAGCCAUGCCGCGUGAGUGAUGAAGGCCCUAGGGUUGUAAAGCUCUUUCACCGGUGGAGAUAAUGACGGUAACCGGAGAAGAAGCCCCGGCUAACUUCGUGCCAGCAGCCGCGGUAAUACGAAGGGGGCUAGCGUUGUUCGGAUUUACUGGGCGUAAAGCGCACGUAGGCGGACUUUUAAGUCAGGGGUGAAAUCCCGGGGCUCAACCCCGGAACUGCCUUUGAUACUGGAAGUCUUGAGUAUGGUAGAGGUGAGUGGAAUUCCGAGUGUAGAGGUGAAAUUCGUAGAUAUUCGGAGGAACACCAGUGGCGAUGGCGGCUCACUGGACCAUUACUGACGCUGAGGUGCGAAAGCGUGGGGAGCAAACAGG